CCUACGGGAGGCAGCAGUGAGGAAUAUUGGUCAAUGGACGAGAGUCUGAACCAGCCAAGUAGCGUGAAGGAUGACUGCCCUAUGGGUUGUAAACUUCUUUUAUAAAGGAAUAAAACGGGGCACGUGUGCCUUUUUGCAUGUACUUUAUGAAUAAGGAUCGGCUAACUUCGUGCCCGCAGCCGCGGUAAUACGGAGGAUCCGAGCGUUAUCCGGGUUUAUUGGGUUUAAAGGGAGCGUAGAUGGGUUGUUAAGUCAGUUGUGAAAGUUUGCGGCUCAACCGUAGAAUUGCAGUUGAUACUGGCAGUCUUGAGUGCAGUUGAGGUAGGCGGAAUUCGUGGUGUAGCGGUGAAAUGCUUAGAUAUCACGAAGAACCCCGAUUGCGAAGGCAGCUUACUAAGCUGUGACUGACAUUGAUGCUCGAAAGUGUGGGUAUCAAACAGGAUUAGAUACCCGGGUAGUC
rnacentral:rRNA from 1 species